rnacentral:tRNA from 1 species
CCAAUAGGGCUGCUAUUGCAGGCUACUUUGAUGUAGUAGAAUUAAAAUUUUAAAUUUCGUUGGU